rnacentral:lncRNA from 1 species
AGUGAUUCUCAAUGGAUCUGUGGAAGUGACUUAUCCAGAUGGAAAAGCAGAAAUACUGUGCAUGGGAAAUAGUUUUGGUGUCUCUCCUACCAUGGACAAAGAAUACAUGAAAGGAGUGAUGAGAACAAAGGUGGAUGACUGCCAGGUAUAAAAUAUAUCAUUAAAAAUAUAUAUUUUAUUCUUAAUAAAGAACACUUAUAUGCCAUUGUGAUG